UUCCGACUGAAACUCUGAACACGUUGGUGUGAAAAAGAAACCGCUACGAACCAAGGCAUGAUGCGCGCGGACUCACCUCUCCCUGCCAGGGCUGCUGUCGGGUCGGCUCAUCCUGAACCCAGCCAGGCAAAUCAGCCCGCUACCCGCGAGCCUUUUGUUUGGACACUGUUGCCAGGCUACAGCACGUAUAUGGAUACUGUCACCCCGGCAACGGUGAUGGAUGAGUUUAUCACUCCCUAAUUUGUGGGUCUGGAAACUCAACAUUAGCCAGAGAAGCCAAACAAGACCUGAAGGAGGAGAACGGAGUGGCUACAAAUGCAAAAACAAAACUUCACAUCCCAAAACACUAAUGACGGCUCUUGUAGAAAAUUUGUAAUGUAAUAAUAUGCAUAAUAUGUAUUGUGAUUUACGUGAGGGAAAUUAAAUUUGACC